rnacentral:rRNA from 1 species
AAUGAACGCUGGCGGCAGGCCUAACACAUGCAAGUCGAGCGGCCCUUUCGGAGUCACCUGCGGUUGCGGGAGUCACGCGGGGGAAUAUGCCAGUAUCCACCGAAUUGUCCUGGGAAACGGGGGGUAAUAGCGCGUACCCCCCGUGUGGGAAAGAUUCAUCGGGGGGGGGUUAGCACGCGCUGGAUUAGGUUGGUGGUGGGGUAAUGGCCUACCAAGGCGACGAUCCAUAGCUGGUUUGAGAGGAAGAUCAGCCACACUGGGACUGAGACGCGGCCCAGACUCCGACGGGAGGCAGCAGUGGGGAAUCUUAGACAACGGGGGCAACCCUGAUCUAGCCAGGCCGCGUGAGUGAUGAAGGCGGUAGGGUUGGAAAGCUCUUUCAGCUGGGAAGAUAAUGACGGUACCAGCAGAAGAAGCCCCGGCUAACUCCGU